UAAACGGUUGCUUCUGUUUGCUAGUACUGUGAGAAAACGCCAUUACUGAAGCUGCUAAAACAAACCAUGGAGCUGUUUUUGUCGUUAACGAAAAGGUCUGAAUGCUAAAAUAAACUUUGGAGCUGUUUUUUGUCGAACACGAGUGAGAAUGGACGCUGAACACACCUGCGGUGCGACGGUUUACUGCUUCAGCUGCUGCAGCCUGGACACAAACACCAGCUCUCACCUGACAAACCAAACAGGUGUCUCCACUUCGUCUUCGUACAGUGAAGAAGUUCUUUGAGACCAGGACUGAGGCCUCCAGGAUUCAAACUGGAACCAUCACAGAGGGAAGAGACAGACAUGAAGAUGUUGUCAGGUCUUCAGCUGCUGUCGUCUUCUCCUCCUCCACAGACAACAACACGGAUUGAUCACACAAACUCAUCUGUCUUCAGCUGCUGUCGUCUUCUCCUCCUGCACAGACAACAACACGGAUUGAUCACACAAACUCAUCUUGUGUGAAUUACCUGGAGGCCUGUGUCCUGGUCUCAAAGAACUUCUUCAUUGUGUGAAGACUCUGUGAUCGUGGACAAAGUGGAGACACCUGGAGUAAACGCACAAAGGAAAAUGAUCAAUACACUACUGCCUAUUCCUCAUCAACAGUUCAACAUUACAGCUGAAACUGAACAUUUAACUAAAUAUUUUUAUGCCUGACUAUAAAGUGACUUAUUUCUAUUUUGGAUUACUAUUACUUCUAUUGUUACUUCUAAAAUUAGAUUACUUUUACCAUUACAUACUACUUCUUAAUUUACAUUUAACUUUUGCUGUUUCAAACUACAUCUAGUAACAGAUUACUUUGACUUGUAUUUCACUUCUUAUUUCAAACAGUGCAAUAUCAGUACUCAAAUCCAACUAUCACUCUGUACACAGUCUUGUAUAUAUGAUGCCCUUUUCUAUUGUUGUUGUUGUGACUGAUUAUGAUUAUGUUACUCAAAUAAAUACUUCUAAAGAAUA